rnacentral:SRP_RNA from 1 species
GCCGGGCGCGGUGGCGCGUGCCUGUAGUCCCAGCUACUCGGGAGGCUGAGGUGGGAGGAUCGCUUGAACUCAGGAGUUCUGGGCUGUAGUGCACUAUGCUGAUCGGGUGUCCGCACUAAGUUCAGCAUCAAUAUGGUGACUUCCCGGGAGCAGGGGACCACCAGAUUGCUUAAGGAGGGGUGAACCGGCCCAGGUCGGAAAUGGAGCAGGUCAAAACUCCCGUGCUGAUCAGUAGUGGGAUCGCGCCUGUGAAUAGCCACUGCACUCAAGCCUGGGCAACAUAGCGAGACCCCGUCUCU